GAUUACCUACGGGGCGCAGCAGCGAGGAAUAUUGGUCAAUGGUCGGGAGACUGAACCAGCCAAGCCGCGUGAGGGAUGAAGGUACAGAGUAUCGUAAACCUCUUUUGUCAGGGAACAAAGGCGGGGACGUGUCCCCGGAUGAGUGUACCUGAAGAAAAAGCAUCGGCUAACUCCGUGCCAGCAGCCGCGGUAAUACGGAGGAUGCGAGCGUUAUCCGGAUUUAUUGGGUUUAAAGGGUGCGCAGGCGGUCUGUUAAGUCAGCGGUAAAAAUUCGGGGCUCAACCCCGGCCGGCCGUUG
rnacentral:rRNA from 1 species